UACGAAGGGUGCAAGCGUUACUCGGAAUUACUGGGCGUAAAGCGUGCGUAGGUGGUUCGUUAAGUCUGAUGUGAAAGCCCUGGGCUCAACCUGGGAAUGGCAUUGGAAACUGGCGACCUAGAGUGCGGUAGAGGGUAGUGGAAUUCACGGUGUAGCAGUGAAAUGCGUAGAUAUCUGGAGGAACAUCAGUGGCGAAGGCGACACCCUGGACUCAUACUGACACUGAGGUGCGAAAGCGUGGGGAGCAAACAGG
rnacentral:rRNA from 1 species